rnacentral:lncRNA from 1 species
AGAUGGGGAUGGGGAGUGGCCUUCACUAGGGUGGUCCUCCUGGCUGAGCAGGGCCGGCCCAGGGGAGGGCGGGGCCAGCACGUCCCCAGAACAGUGCCUGUCCAGGGGCACAAGGGUUCACUGAAGACUCAGGAGAGGGGUUUAGAGCACAGCCUCCCUCUCCAGGGUCAGGUUCACGGGAGCUGUUGGGGGCUCCUUCCCUCGCAGCAGUGACCACUCCAAGGACCACGGCCUGGACAUGAGCGGCAGCGGAGUCUAGAUGAAUAUAGGCAGCAGCCAAAGGCCACAGUCACGACAAACCUACACACUCUCACCACUGUCAUCUCAUAUUGUCCUAAAAUUUCCAGCCAGUGCAAAAAAACAUGAAAAAGAAAAAAUACAGCCAUUGGAAAAGAGGAAAAGUAAUUGUUAUUAGCUGAUGAUGUGAAUGUCUUCCUGAAAACCUUAAGAGAACCAACUGGAAAACAACCAGAAAUGAGAGCAUGGAGUUAGGCAACCGCCGAUCUGCUUUCUGUCACUUGGGCGAGUUUUUCCCGUCCUGGGAUUUCAUAUCUCUGGAAUCCUGCAGUACGUAGCCCUCUGUCUGGCUUCCUCGCUCCGUGUAAUGUUCUUGAGAUUCAUCCAUGCAGCUGUGUAUACCUGCAGUGAUUGUUUCUCUUGUUGAAUUGCUGAGAAGGGUUCCAUCGUAUGCCUUUUCCAGUUUAUUUGUUCAUCUGUUGUUAGACAUUUGAGUUAUUUCCAGCUUGGGACUCUUAUGAACAAAACUGCUAUAAACAUGCAUAUUCAAGUCUUUGUGGAUAUGUGCUUUCUUUUGUCCUGGAUAAAUGUCUCCACGUGGGCUUCCUGGGUCUCACGGACCUCACCAGCUGACGUGGCCGGCCCUGGACUUGCCAUGGAGAAGGCAGAGCCUGCCUCCCAGUGGGUCCCUGUGAGGAACAGCAGUACCGGCUUGUCGUCUUUCUGGGAAAUGCAUUUCGCCUCCUCUAGGAACCUCCCGGAUGACCCAGAGUGUUCUCCACCCACUUUUCCUGCCCUGUGCGGUCACCUCAUUUCUACAGGCUUGGGGAAACAAAUGCAAAGUGCUUUCCAGAACGUUUUUGUCUUACACAUGACACUUCUAUGGAAAAAAUGACUUUUUUUCCAUUGUUCCUUCCAGAACCUGAGCACAUCCCUCUGCUGGGAGGACGCUGUCUGUCCAAAUGUCACUGUCCCCCAUUUAGGAGCAGCAGCAGGGCCUUGCUUCAUGUUCAUAUGGGUGUUGAUUGGGAUAUGAUGGAUUCUUCUGUGUACUUUGGAGGAUUUUCUCCUUAGUUUGAAUAGUAAACUGUAAACUCAGACUCAG